CGAACGCUGGCGGCAUGCCUAACACAUGCAAGUCGAACGAGACCUUCGGGUCUAGUGGCGCCCGGGUGCGUAACGCGUGGGAACCUGCCCUUAGGUUCGGAAUAACUCCCCGAAAGGGGUGCUAAUACCGGAUAAUGUCUUCGGACCAAAGAUUUAUCGCCUUUGGAUGGGCCCGCGUUGGAUUAGCUAGUUGGUAGGGUAAAAGCCUACCAAGGCGACGAUCCAUAGCUGGUCUGAGAGGAUGAUCAGCCACACUGGGACUGAGACACGGCCCAGACUCCUACGGGAGGCAGCAGUGGGGAAUAUUGGACAAUGGGCGAAAGCCUGAUCCAGCAAUGCCGCGUGAGUGAUGAAGGCCUUAGGGUUGUAAAGCUCUUUUACCCGGGAUGAUAAUGACAGUACCGGGAGAAUAAGCGCCGGCUAACUCCGUG
rnacentral:rRNA from 1 species